UUGCCGCCGGUAGUGUGAGAAGUUCAUUAAACCUUAUCAUUUAGAGGAAGGAGAAGUCGUAACAAGGUUUCCGUAGGUGAACCUGCGGAAGGAUCAUUGCACACACAAACUGCAAAGCCAACCCUCAAUAACUUGGCGCCUCGUGGCGCGACCUCCUCUUCUGGACGGGGGCGCGCUGCGGGGUGACUUGGUGCUACCUUAACAAAUAUUCCGAAGCUCUUCGGGUGCUUGCUCUUCGGGAUACUCGGGGUGUACUUACUUGGGCGUCCUCCUCCUCUUCAAGGCUGCAUUCAGCUCUCAGCCUGUCGCCCCCGGCCGGAACUUUGGCGCGCGGUGCUCGGUCUAGGCCGAAUCCACUUGCGGUCACGGGACUGGAUCCGGGAUUAGUACCGGCAGGCGGGGAGUGCUACCGCGGGAGGCUAGGGAUGGGUUCCAGCGCCCAAGUACUCGCACCACGAGUUCCUUCCGAGUGCAAGUGGCUCGUCGGGUGGAAGAAGCCCGAUGAAAUUUUUUCUAAGUCCCACAAGACUUGAGACCCUUAUUUUGACCCGGGAGUUUGGGCUCACUUCCCCGGGAGUGGGCUCGGACACGAGUUGAAUCUAAUCUUAACUUAGAACAACUCUCAGCAACGGAUAUCUUGGCUCUUGCAACGAUGAAGAACGCAGCGAAAUGCGAUACGUAGUGUGAAUUGCAGAAUUCCGCGAAUCAUCGAGUUUUUGAACGCAAGUUGCGCCCGAGGCUUGUCCAAGGGCAUUUCGUUAGAGCGUCACCGCGCCCCCCCACCACACUCCCCAAGUACUUUUGUACUUGUGCGCCGGUUUGAGUGGAUCUGGCCGUCCCGGAGUGCGAAGGUACCCGGGUCGGCUGAAAUGGAGGGAAUUUGGCCGCCGUGGCAUCACUUGCCCCGCGAUCAGGUGUGAUUACGAACUCCCACGGCACUUAGUGUCGUGGGACUUGGGUCUUCCAAGUGCGGGGCUCCCGGUGAGCCCGAGUGCGUGCGAGUUCCACAGCAGGCUACCUUAUACUUAAGACCUUCCACUCUGUGGAAGGCCACGAGGAAACGAAGAGGUAACGCAUCGGACCUCUAAUCGGAAAAGACUACCCGCCGAGUUUAAGCAUAUCACAAGCGAGACAGAA
rnacentral:rRNA from 1 species